AGGAGAUUAGUGCAAUGGCAUAAGCCAGCUUAACUGCGAGACAGACACGUCGAGCAGAUACGAAAGUAGGUCAUAGUGAUCCGGUGGUUCUGUAUGGAAGGGCCAUCGCUCAACGGAUAAAAGGUACUCCGGGGAUAACAGGCUGAUACCGCCCAAGAGUUCACAUCGACGGCGGUGUUUGGCACCUCGAUGUCGGCUCAUCACAUCCUGGGGCUGAAGCCGGUCCCAAGGGUAUGGCUGUUCGCCAUUUAAAGUGGUACGCGAGCUGGGUUUAGAACGUCGUGAGACAGUUCGGUCCCUAUCUGCCGUGGGCGUUUGAGAUUUGAGAAGAGCUGUUCCUAGUACGAGAGGACCGGAAUGGACGAACCUCUGGUGUUCGGGUUGUCAUGCCAAUGGCAUUGCCCGGUAGCUACGUUCGGACGGGAUAACCGCUGAAAGCAUCUAAGCGGGAAGCCCCCUUCAAGAUGAGAUCUCACUUGGACCUUGAGUCCACUAAAGA
rnacentral:ncRNA from 1 species